rnacentral:rRNA from 1 species
ACUCCUACGGGAGGCAGCAGUGGGGAAUAUUGGACAAUGGGGGAAACCCUGAUCCAGCGAUGCCGCGUGAGUGAAGAAGGCCUUUGGGUUGUAAAGCUCUUUUGUGAUGGAAGAUGAUGACGGUACAUCAAGAAAAAGUCCCGGCUAACUUCGUGCCAGCAGCCGCGGUAAUACGAAGGGGACUAGCGUUGUUCGGAAUGACUGGGCGUAAAGGGCGCGUAGGCGGUUACAUAAGUCCGAUGUUAAAGCGUAGGGCUCAACCCUAUAAAGGCGUUGGAUACUGUGAAACUAGACUUCUGGAGAGGUAAGUGGAAUUACCAGAGUAGCGGUGAAAUGCGUAGAUACUGGUAGGAACACCCAUAGCGAAGGCAGCUUACUGGACAGAGAGUGACGCUGAGGCGCGAAAGUGUGGGGAGCAAACCGGAUUAGAUACCCUGGUAGGUC